AUUGAACGCUGGCGGCAGGCAUAACACAUGCAAGUCGAGCGGAGCGGCGGACGGGUGAGUAAUGCCUAGGAAUCUGCAUGGUAGUGGGGGAUAACGUACGGAAACGGGCGCUAAUACCGCAUACUCUCAGAUGAGCCUAGGUCGGAUUAGCUAGUUGGUGGGGGAAAGGACUACCAAGGCGACGAUCCGUAACUGGUAUGAGAGGAUGAUCAGUCACACUGGAACUCAGACACGGUCCAGACGCCGACGUGAGGCAUCAGUUGGGAAUAUUGGACAAUGGGCGAAAGCCUGAUCCAGCCAUGCCGCGUGUGUGAAGAAGGUCGUCGGAUUGUAAAGCACGUUAAGUUGGGAGGCGUUACCAACAGAAUAAGCACCGGCUAACUCCGUGCCAGCAGCCGCGGUAAUUC
rnacentral:rRNA from 1 species